rnacentral:lncRNA from 1 species
AUGAGAUUUUUUUUUUUUUUUUGGAUGUUGAUGUAUACGUUCCUUAUAUAUUUUGGAUAUUCUUUUUUUAAGGAUUUUAUUUAUUUAUUCAUGAGAGACACAGACACACACACACAGAGGCAGAGACGCAGGCAGAGAGAGAAGCAGGCUCCAUGCAGGGAGCCUGAUGCGGGACUGGAUCCCCGGUCUCCAGGAUCACGCCCUCAGCUGAAGGCAGGCACUAAACCGAUUAGCCACCCAGGAAUCCCAAAACAUUCAUUGCUAAAGACCAAAUCACUAUCUAUGGCUCUCCUCACCCCCAAACUGAGUAUCAUAACAUCCAGAGGUUGCAUUCUGCAUUUUAAAAUAAAAUAAGCAUGAGUUUUCUAUUUACAUGUGGCUUUGGCCAUCUAAUUGGUUGUAUUUACUUACAGAAACAUACAGUUUAAUAACCAUUACCUUGAUAGCCCAUCUCUUGUGGUGCGGUUUCAUUAUACCUCUGUGGUUUUCUAGACUUUUCUCAGGUUUAUGAUCCAAACAUCCUUUCUUCCAUAGCUCUUCAGUCAAGGAUGAAAUUUUCAUUAUUUCCAGGGAGGGAGAGGUUUGGCAGCAACUGAGACUUACGUUGUUUAUUAUGUUUUUAAUGUUAUUACUGUUAUUAGUAGUAAACAUUGAUUAAAUGUCUCUUGUGCAGUAAAUGAGGUGGGUUAUUGAAAACUGACAUCCUUUGACGGGAAGCUGCCCUCCUUUAAAAAUAUGAUAAACCCCUCUGCCUAAAGAAAAUACAGUGCUACUUACAUUUGCUUCAUGGAACUAUAAAACUCAAGACUUGGAAGAAAGUUAGUUGUCAGCUAAUCCAAAGUUCCCGGGUGGGUUCAAGUUCCAGUACAACAUCCCUUUGCUACAACAGUUCCUGAGCCUUUCCAGGAAGUAAGAUCCAUUAUUAGAUAGCCCUAAAUGUUAUAGAGUCCUUUCUUUUCUUGAGAUAAAACCUAGGAUAAUUCAUCUAAGACAAGGUUAUGGUCAAGAUAACCUCUGAAUAUUAGGGCCAUUAUUUUGAACACAAGACAGGAAUUAUUUUUAUCUGCUUCUCCCUGCACAGAGGGAAAAUGUCCAGUAAUGAGGUUAUCAAUAGAUUGCUGUGAGGCCAUUCAGCAUAAGGCAUAUGGAGAUAUCUUUGUGAUGGUCAUUCUGUAGUCUAUAGCUGGUGUUUCUUUCUUGGCCAGGAUGGGAGGGAAGAGAAAACUAAGUAUGGUAAGAGUGACUAUCUUUCCUUUGGGUAAACUCCUAACUUAUCACUAUGCUUUUACAUAGUGUCAGGUUCAUCGCGGGGAUAUCCAAGUGUGUGCACCUAGGAUUUAAAAAGAUUAAUGCACAUUGAUUAGAAUGUGAAAUCCCAAGAAAAGAACUAUCAGUAUUUUGUAUUCGUUUUCUAGGCCUGAUGUAAGAAAAUACCCAAAAUUGGGUAGCUUAAACAAUAGAUAUUUAUUGCCUCAUAAUUCUGGAGGCUAGAAAUCUAAAGUCAAAACUGUGUGGCAAGAUUGGCUCUUAUGGAGGGCUGUGAUGGAGAAUCUGUUCCAAGCCUGGCUUCUAGCUUCUGGUGGUUUGCUGGUAUUUUUGGCAUUCUUUGCAUUAUAGAUGAGUCACCAAAAUCUCUGUGUUCAAAUUCAUGUAGUGUUUUCCCUUUCUGUCAUAUUGGAUUAAGAAUUUAUCCUACUCCAGUAUGAACUCAUUAACUAAUUACAUCUACAUCAAAACUAUUUUUUAGAAAUGUCACAUUCUGACAUAGUGAAGGGAUUAAGACUACCAUAUGACUUUUUGGAGGACACAAUUCACCUAUAACAAGUAUGUAAGUAACAUGUUGAAUAUUAAAAAAAAAAACUAAUCCAUGAACCAUGGGAAUCCCUAAAAACCUAAGUGGAUGGUCAAGAAUUCCAAAUAAAAUCACAAUUAUAAGCAAAAUCCCAAAUAAAUAUAGUUGCAUAACCAUACAGUUAAUUGGAUGAGUGCUGGGAUUAAGCUUUCCUUUAUAAUGACUUUGCAUUCUCAGAUGUAAGACAGCCCUCCUUGCUGCUUUAACUUUAAUCUGUGCAGGAUCUAUGCAAAAGAACGACUUUUUUUGUUGUUCUUUUGUUUUGUUUUAUUUUGUUUUUACAGAGCUCAGCUUCAAUGAUAUAAAUAAAGGAAAAAGAGGUGCAGAUAAUCAGAACAACAAAUAAUCAAAGAAAAACAAUAUGUCAUUUUUAAUAAAAUGGCAACAGAUUUAUCUUCCAGGAUAUGGCUUGCUUAGCUUGUUUUUGUGUUACAGGAAUUUUCCAUAGGCGGUAUAUGGAGGUGGAAAAUGUAGAGUUAUGCCUUUUACUCUCUAUGUAAUUUGGAUCUUGCUAUUUUACCUUUAAAUUUAUAAUCUACAGAUGGAACAUUUACAUAUGGAAAGUGAAAAGAAUAAAUUCACUCAUAAUGUAGUGUGGUAUCCAUAGAUUUUGCUCCUGGAAUAUUAGUAUUAUUUUUGUUUUCUCUCCUCCAGAUUUUACUCCCACUCUCCUCACUAAGAAUAUGAUUGACCAUGGCCCCACCAUACAUUGGUUUUGGGCAAGGGGUGAAAAUUAUUUGUAGAGGUACAUUUGUUGAAGAAAAUGUGCAAAUGGGGAAGCCUGGGUGGCUCAGGGGUUUAGUGCCUGCCUUUGGCCCAAGGCAUGAUCCUGGGAGUCCCUGGAUCAAGCCCCACACUGGGCUCCCUGCAAGGAGCCUGCUUCUCCCUCUGCCUGUUUCUCUGCCUCUCUCUCUCUCUUUCCCUGUGUCUCUCAUGAAUAAAUAAAAUCUUAAAAAAAAAAAAAAGUUUUGUUUGCAAAUGCAGUUACAAGCACUACAUUCAGGGGUCUGAGAACAUUUAUUUUCACUUGGUAUUCAGACUUAACUACUAAGCAUAGCAAGUGUAGGUCCACAGACACAUACCUCCAGUUUUUAAAUUCCACAGCUGGGAAAACAGAAGUUUUGUGUUUUUUGUUUUUGUUUUUGUUUUUGUUUUUCAUAAACUCUGAUAGCAAAAUCUAACCUCACGUGAAUCGAUCUGGUUGUAAAACCUGAGGUCAUUCCCACUCCGUAUGAAUGUUACCAUAGAAAUGUUAACAUUCUGAUUAUUGGCCUCUCGGAGAGGUUUAAGGUAGAUGUACUGUAUUACUUUUCCAAACUCCAAAAUUCUGAAUUCCUAAGCAAAUCUGGCCCCAAAGAUUUCCAUUUAGGAAUCGUGGAUGUACGUUUCCUCUCUUAUUUUCUAGAGAAAAUUCUAUAACUUGGUAAAUGUCACAGAGGUAUUCAGUACUGUGUGAUUUUCUUUGUGUAUUUUUGUUCUUAUUCUGUAGGUAUGAAGCCAACAUCAUCAUUCAUCCAUUUUGUGAGACACAUUCUGAAAGACUGGAACUGUAUUUCCUAUAAGAGGAUUUACAGGAUGGUAAUUAACUGGGAAGUGACUCUCCACCCAUAUGCUCACAUGGUAAGUCAGAAGGUCUACCAGUAAUGCUGGUAAUGAUUUCAGUAGGGUUGCUCUUCAUUGUUGUUGGUGAUGGCUACGGGUAUUGUUAUCACGUGGGUUGCUGGAGUAAUUCAUUCGUGACAGACAAAAUAAUUUAUUAAACACCAGUGUCUUAGAGCUUGAAGACAUAAUUCAUUCUGCCAUGGUGAUGCAUAGGUACGGGAGGCUGGGAUGCACAGGGUCAGAUGAGAUUUUGGCUUUUAAGAUUGAAAAGUUCUAUAUUAGAUAAAGCAGGUCUCCCGGGAGACAGUUUCAUUAUAUCCCCAAUGUUAGCAACAUUUCUCUGAUAGACAAAAUUUUCAUUUUCCUUGUUUCAUUCCAUUGGUCCCAGCUAUAUCCUUUUGCACUGCUCGAAAUAAUUCAAUAUUUUAGCUCUUAGUAAAGGGCUCCUUUCACUUCCAUUUCCUACUCCCACAUUAUCCAAUAAAACCUUCGGCUUAAAUUUGCUAUUCUUUAAUAUCCUUUAAUUUUAUUCUCUGGACCUCAGUCUAUG